rnacentral:rRNA from 1 species
CUGGAAUUACGACCUUUACCACAAUGGUGCCUUCCAUGGAUAAAAUUAUUUCGUGGAUUGGAUUUCACUUGCCUGUCUACGGUUCCCGAGCACAGGGCGUCCAGGGGUCACGGACCGACCAUAGACCCUGUUCAAUAA